rnacentral:pre_miRNA from 1 species
UAUAAGAACUCUUGCAAUCUUAGGUGUUAUAAAAAUAUAUAACUGAGUUGUAAGAGUUGUUAGCAC